UGGCUGGUGGCAUGCCUAAUCUUGCAAGGCNAGCCGGUAAGUAAGGGAGCUUGCUCCCGGAUGUUAGCGGCGGACGGGUGAGUAACACGUGGGUAACCUGCCUGUAAGACUGGGAUAACUCCGGGAAACCGGAGCUAAUACCGGAUAGUUCCUUGAACCGCAUGGUUCAAGGAUGAAAGACGGUUUCGGCUGUCACUUACAGAUGGACCCGCGGCGCAUUAGCUAGUUGGUGAGGUAACGGCUCACCAAGGCGACGAUGCGUAGCCGACCUGAGAGGGUGAUCGGCCACACUGGGACUGAGACACGGCCCAGACUCCUACGGGAGGCAGCAGUAGGGAAUCUUCCGCAAUGGACGAAAGUCUGACGGAGCAACGCCGCGUGAGUGAUGAAGGUUUUCGGAUCGUAAAGCUCUGUUGUUAGGGAAGAACAAGUGCAAGAGUAACUGCUUGCACCUUGACGGUACCUAACCAGAAAGCCACGGCUAACUACGUGCCAGCAGCCGCGGUAAUACGUAGGUGGCAAGCGUUGUCCGGAAUUAUUGGGCGUAAAGGCUCGCAGGCGGUUCUUAGUCUGAUGUGAAA
rnacentral:rRNA from 1 species